GUGGGAGGGGAAUCAUCUAAAGGCAGCAGAUUUAUUUUACUCAAACGCAGGUCAUCAGAUUUAGAGUAAAAAUAACUCCUGUUUUAGAAAUGUAGUUACCAUUAACUACUAAAGUAGUGCGGUUUCUUUGAUUGUGAAGCGUCUGUCCCGAAGUCGUGUUCUUACACUCUAAAAAACGCUGGGUUGUUUUUUCAACCCAAAUGCUGGGUUGAGACCGCUAGGUAGGAAAUUUGGUUGUUUUAACCCAAGUUUGGGUUGAAAAUUGGUCUUGAUCAUAACCCAGCGGCGCUGGGUUGUGAACGCGGACGUGAAGGAGAGCACGCACGUCACGUUAAAAUCGUACGUCUCCAGUGCGAGAAGCCGCCAUUUUCUCAGCGUGAAAGAAGCGAGAAGCGAGUGAAAGACAUUACGACUUGUUGAGCUCGUGUCUUCAUUGUCCCCGCACUGAGAGUUAAAGACACCUGCUCUUGUGAGGAGUCACAGACUGUGUGAGGAGGAGACGGUGUUCUCAGCUUCUUCUGAAGAGAGGGACAGACGGGUUUAAGAUGUUGAAAGCCAGAGACAUAGGAGAGCAUCAAUCUUUUGAGAUUUAUAACUCAAGCUAACUUUGGAGUUAAGGACACAGAAGUCUGCUUGUGUGAGGAGGAGGCGGUGUUCUCAGCUUCUUCUGAAGAGAGGGAAAGAUAGUUUAAGAUGUUGAAAGCCAGAGACAUAGGGAAUAGUUCACACAAAAAAUCAUUUAGUUGCCCUCAUGUCAUUCCAAACCUAUACGACUUUUGUCUGUCUUUAGAAUACAAAUUAAUAUAUUUUGAAUUUUCUCAGAUUUUUGUUAAUCCAUUGAGAGUCUAGAUAGUCAGUAUUUUCAAACCUCAUAAAUUCAGAGUUAUUGUAGAAGUAAUCCAUUCCGAUAUUUAUAUAUGAUUAAAUCUUAAAUUAUAUGAUAGCAAACACGUGUGUUCAAAGUAAAAUAUUGGUCUCCCAGACUUGCAAUGGAGGACAAAAAUUAAUAGAAUAUUAAAUAUAUUUAUUUGUGUUCCAAAAAUUAGCAGAGUUUGUAUGGGUCUGGAACAACAUGGGGGAGUAAAUUAUGACCAUUUUCAUUUUUUGGUGGACUAACCCUUUGAAGAGCAGCCCUCAACGUACAUGAAAAUUUGUGAGGUAUGUGUGAAUGUUUCAGUAAAGUAGCUUUCGGAAAGCAAUAUAUUUAUUCAAACAAUAUCACAAGCCCUCACACUGGUGCUGCCAUUAUAGCAUUCUCGAGCGCUGACAUUAAACAACCACACAAAGUGUUGAAACUUUAAAACAGAUUAUUUACCUCUCCUUACUGAUGUGAAUACACCUCUAUCUGAAAAUGGAUAGUUUAAUUAGUUUUCUUUUUUCAAAUGUGUUUCUCUUUUUAGGCCACUGAUGAAGAACAGGUGGUGACUGGGAUGAAUGCUGGUCAAAGAAGAGAAUGUCCUUUCCCCUAAACUGAUGCAACAGUGGUUUUAAAGGAGGACGCUGCCCUGGGUGAUGUAGAUGUCACAUGUGCUGAUGGGGCUUCUUCAUGACUACAUCAGUUAUGCUAAAGAGAUCAUGAAAGUUGACAGUGAUGCAUGAUCUGUAUUCAUGGACUGUGAAACAAACUGUAAGUGUAUAAUUUGUAAAAACAAAAUGUAAAAUGCUUGUUCUGUGUUUAGUAAAUGAGUUUACACUCUGUCAUUCAUACACAUGCUCACAUUCUUUCACACACACACACGCGCGUCUGUUAAAUGUUAUAAUAUCAGUGUUAAUGUUGUGGUUUAUUUGUGUACUGUAAUGCUAGAAUAGUUGGUAAAGAACUUAACUAAUUGUACAUUUAUUGUAUAAUAGUACGUUCGUAUAUUUUUAUACAAUAUAUAAAAUUUACCAAAGUCCAAUUUGAUCUUUAAAGUUAUAUUCAACAAAUGUUCAAUGCUUUAUGAACUCUGUAGCUGUUAAUGCCAUACUUUUCUGCAUUUCUUCUUACAU
ensembl:lncRNA